UGGGGAAUAUUGGGCAAUGGGCGAAAGCCUGACCCAGCAACGCCGCGUGAGUGAAGAAGGCCUUCGGGUUGUAAAGCUCUGUUAUGCGAGAAGAAGGACGUGACGGUAUCGCAUAAGGAAGCCCCGGCUAACUACGUGCCAGCAGCCGCGGUAAUACGUAGGGGGCGAGCGUUGUCCGGAAUGACUGGGCGUAAAGGGCGUGUAGGCGGUUCUUUAAGUUUGGAGUGAAAGUCCUGGAUUCAAUUUGGGAAUUGCUUUGAAUACUGGAGAACUUGAGUGCGGAAGAGGUAAGUGGAAUUCCCAGUGUAGCGGUGAAAUGCGUAGAGAUUGGGAGGAACACCAGUGGCGAAGGCGACUUACUGGGCCGUAACUGACGCUGAGGCGCGAAAGCGUGGGGAGCGAACAGG
rnacentral:rRNA from 1 species